rnacentral:rRNA from 1 species
CCCCUAGAUGUUCUGGGCCGCACGCGCGCUACACUGAACAGUUCAACAAGUCUUAACCUUGGCCGAUAGGUCUGGGUAAUCUUUGAACGCUGUUCGUGAUUGGGAUAGACCUUUGCAAUUAUGGGUCUUCAACGAGGAAUUCCUAGUAAACGCAAGUCAUCAGCUUGCAUUGAUUACGUCCCUGCCCUUUGUACACACCGCCCGUCGCUCCUACCGAUUGAAUGGUCCGGUGAAAAUUUCGGAUACCGGCGUUGCUGGCGGUUCGCCGCCGGCGACGCUGGUAGAAGAUCUUUAAACCUUAUCAUUUAGAGGAAGGAGAAGUCGUAACA